AUUCAUAUAGUUUAUAAAACAUUUUAUUUUCAUUAAAAAAAAAGACCUACUGUCUUAUGAAUU
rnacentral:tRNA from 1 species